rnacentral:rRNA from 1 species
CAGUAGCCGCGGGAAUACAGAGGGUGCGAGCGUUAAUCGGAUUUACUGGGCGUAAAGCGUGCGUAGGCGGCUUCUUAAGUCGGAUGUGAAAUCCCUGAGCUUAACUUAGGAAUUGCAUUCGAUACUGGGAAGCUAGAGUAUGGGAGAGGAUGGUAGAAUUCCAGGUGUAGCGGUGAAAUGCGUAGAGAUCUGGAGGAAUACCGAUGGCGAAGGCAGCCCCCUGGGCCAAUACUGACGCUCAUGCACGAAAGCGUGGGGAGCAAACAGGAUUAGAGACCCCAGUAGUCCCUGUCUCUUAUAC